GACAGAGGAUGCAAGCGUUAUCCGGAAUGAUUGGGCGUAAAGCGUCUGUAGGUGGCUUUUUAAGUCCGCCGUCAAAUCCCAGGGCUCAACUCUGGACAGGCGGUGGAAACUACCAAGCUGGAGUACGGUAGGGGCAGAGGGAAUUUCCGGUGGAGCGGUGAAAUGCGUAGAGAUUGGAAAGAACACCGAUGGCGAAGGCACUUUACUGGGCUAUUACUAACACUCAGAGACGAAAGCUAGGGUAGCAAAUGGG
rnacentral:rRNA from 1 species